rnacentral:rRNA from 1 species
UUAAAUUGAAGAGUUUGAUCAUGGCUCAGAUUGAACGCUGGCGGCAGGCCUAACACAUGCAAGUCGAACGGUAACAGGAAGCAGCUUGCUGCUUUGCUGACGAGUGGCGGACGGGUGAGUAAUGUCUGGGAAACUGCCUGAUGGAGGGGGAUAACUACUGGAAACGGUGGCUAAUACCGCAUAACGUCGCAAGACCAAAGAGGGGGACCUUCGGGCCUCUUGCCAUCAGAUGUGCCCAGAUGGGAUUAGCUUGUUGGUGAGGUAACGGCUCACCAAGGCGACGAUCCCUAGCUGGUCUGAGAGGAUGACCAGCCACACUGGAACUGAGACACGGUCCAGACUCCUACGGGAGGCAGCAGUGGGGAAUAUUGCACAAUGGGCGCAAGCCUGAUGCAGCCAUGCCGCGUGUAUGAAGAAGGCCUUCGGGUUGUAAAGUACUUUCAGCGGGGAGGAAGGUGUUGUGGUUAAUAACCACAGCAAUUGACGUUACCCGCAGAAGAAGCACCGGCUAACUCCGUGCCAGCAGCCGCGGUAAUACGGAGGGUGCAAGCGUUAAUCGGAAUUACUGGGCGUAAAGCGCACGCAGGCGGUCUGUCAAGUCGGAUGUGAAAUCCCCGGGCUCAACCUGGGAACUGCAUUCGAAACUGGCAGGCUUGAGUCUUGUAGAGGGGGGUAGAAUUCCAGGUGUAGCGGUGAAAUGCGUAGAGAUCUGGAGGAAUACCGGUGGCGAAGGCGGCCCCCUGGACAAAGACUGACGCUCAGGUGCGAAAGCGUGGGGAGCAAACAGGAUUAGAUACCCUGGUAGUCCACGCCGUAAACGAUGUCUACUUGGAGGUUGUGCCCUUGAGGCGUGGCUUCCGGAGCUAACGCGUUAAGUAGACCGCCUGGGGAGUACGGCCGCAAGGUUAAAACUCAAAUGAAUUGACGGGGGCCCGCACAAGCGGUGGAGCAUGUGGUUUAAUUCGAUGCAACGCGAAGAACCUUACCUGGUCUUGACAUCCACAGAAGAAUCCAGAGAUGGAUUUGUGCCUUCGGGAACUGUGAGACAGGUGCUGCAUGGCUGUCGUCAGCUCGUGUUGUGAAAUGUUGGGUUAAGUCCCGCAACGAGCGCAACCCUUAUCCUUUGUUGCCAGCGGUUAGGCCGGGAACUCAAAGGAGACUGCCAGUGAUAAACUGGAGGAAGGUGGGGAUGACGUCAAGUCAUCAUGGCCCUUACGACCAGGGCUACACACGUGCUACAAUGGCGCAUACAAAGAGAAGCGACCUCGCGAGAGCAAGCGGACCUCAUAAAGUGCGUCGUAGUCCGGAUUGGAGUCUGCAACUCGACUCCAUGAAGUCGGAAUCGCUAGUAAUCGUGGAUCAGAAUGCCACGGUGAAUACGUUCCCGGGCCUUGUACACACCGCCCGUCACACCAUGGGAGUGGGUUGCAAAAGAAGUAGGUAGCUUAACCUUCGGGAGGGCGCUUACCACUUUGUGAUUCAUGACUGGGGUGAAGUCGUAACAAGGUAACCGUAGGGGAACCUGCGGUUGGAUCACCUCCUUACCUUAAAGAA